AUACUUACCUGGCAGGGGAGAUACCAUGAUCACGAAGGUGGUUUUCCCAGGGCGAGGCUUAUCCAUUGCACUCCGGAUGUGCUGACCCCUGCGAUUUCCCCAAAUGUGGGAAACUCGACUGCAUAAUUUGAGGUAGUGGGGGACUGCCUUCGUGCUCUCCAA
rnacentral:snRNA from 1 species